rnacentral:tRNA from 1 species
GUCUCUAUGGCUCAGUCGGUAGAGCGUUGGUCUCAUAUUCCAAUCAAUAUGACCCUGCCUCCAGGUCGGGAUAUCCAAAGGUCGCAAGUUCGAGCCUUGCUAGGGACA